GAUGAACGCUGGCGGCGUGCUUAACACAUGCAAGUCGAACGGAAAGGCCCUGCUUUUGUGGGGUGCUCGAGUGGCGAACGGGUGAGUAACACGUGAGUAACCUGCCCUUGACUUUGGGAUAACUUCAGGAAACUGGGGCUAAUACCGGAUAGGAGCUCCUGCUGCAUGGUGGGGGUUUGAAAGUUUCGGCGGUUGGGGAUGGACUCGCGGCUUAUCAGCUUGUUGGUGGGGUAGUGGCUUACCAAGGCUUUGACGGGUAGCCGGCCUGAGAGGGUGACCGGCCACAUUGGGACUGAGAUACGGCCCAGACUCCUACGGGAGGCAGCAGUGGGGAAUAUUGCACAAUGGGCGGAAGCCUGAUGCAGCAACGCCGCGUGCGGGAUGACGGCCUUCGGGUUGUAAACCGCUUUCGCCUGUGACGAAGCGUGAGUGACGGUAAUGGGUAAAGAAGCACCGGCUAACUACGUG
rnacentral:rRNA from 1 species